UCAGCAACUAACAUGGUUGGAGGCUUCCAAGCAGUGGAAUGUGUUUUGGUCUCAACCAAGACAGUGUGAUGUUUAUGCUUUUUGUGGGGCUUUCUCCAGUUGCAAACCUACAUCCUUGAACUACUGCAAAUGUUUGAAGGGCUUUGAGCCAAACCGGCAGAGUGAUUGGGACUUGCAGAUUUAUUCUGGUGGAUGUUCAAGAAGAACCAGUGUGAAGUGUGGGAAUGCUACGGGAGACGGGUUUCUAGAAAAAAAUAGCAAGUCCUUGCUUGAAAAUAGCCAAAAUGAACGCGCUCUUAGUUUUGAAAGUUGUAGAUCAGCUUGCUUAAAUGAAUGCCAGUGCACUGCUUAUGUUUAUGACAGCAGCAAUGGAUGUUCAAUAUGGCAUGGAGAUGUCUUGAAUCUGCAAGAAUUUGAAGCAAAUGAUGGUGAUGGAAGAAUUUUAUACAUCAGAGCUGCAGCUUCCGACAUUGAGAAAAAACGUAAUAAGAGAAUGAUUAUUCAUGUCUUACUUGGAGCCGUUAAUCUUAAUGUUAUCCUGAUGAUCGUUUUCUUCUCUUUGCAGGUGUAAUUAAGUUGUCCCCUUUGAUUGCAAUAGUCUCAACAAUCACAGGUUUGCUUGUUGUCAUUUUUGGCUAUUUCUUAUGGAAGAAAACAUUGGGAACAAAAAGUAAAGUUGCGGCUGGAGGUGAAAUGAAUGAUGCAGAACUGCCGAUCUUUGGUUUAAGGGCUAUAAUAGCAGCUACAAACAACUUCGCUGAAGCUAAUAAACUCGGAGAGGGAGGAUUUGGCCCUGUCUACAAGGUGACACUUCCACUGUGUAUUCUAAAUACUAAUACAUUUGUCUCCUCAUGCACACACCUUGUUUAUUUAUGACAUUUGGAUUGAAUAAUUCCAAGGAGAUGAAUCACGGGACAAAGUACACAUGGGUGUGCAGAAGGAGAAAAAAGGGUGUCUGAAAAUAAUUUCUCCUUUCAUAAACAUGACCGUUCUUUUGUACUUCUCUAACAAUAUUUUCUCUUGAGCGAUUUUCUUCCUCUAUACAGGGAAUUUUGGCUGAAAAUCAAGAAGUAGCCAUAAAAAGGUUAUCAAAAAAGUCAGGCCAAGGACACCAGGAGUUCAUGAAUGAGUUAAAACUUAUUGCCAAGCUCCAGCAUACCAAUCUCGUUAGGCUCCUGGGUUGCUGUAUUGAAGACGAGGAAAUGAUAUUGAUCUACGAGUACAUGCCCAAUCGGAGCUUGGACAAACUUUUGUUUGGUAUAUACAUGCUAAUGACUUAUUAAUUCUUUGUUUCUGCACAUUGUUUUCCUUGUGUGCAAAUGCCAUGUACUGCAAGUUCAAAUGCACUGUGUCCAAAUAUUUUAUCUAAAAUGAAAAGAAAAACACUUGCUCAUCUUUCUUCAUGGUUUGUCCAAUCAGAUGCACCUGAAAAAAGAGAAUUAGAUUGGGGAAGACGUUUUCGAAUUAUAGAAGGCAUUGCUCAAGGAGUACUUUAUAUCCACAAGUACUCGAGAUUGAAAAUCAUCCACAGGGACCUAAAAACAAGUAACAUAUUGUUGGAUGGAGUCUUGAACCCCAAAAUUUCAGACUUUGGAAUGGCAAGGAUUUUCGGGAUAAAUCAGACUGAAGCGAAUACCAAUAGGGUUGUUGGCACAUAGUAAGUCUGCAUAUAUCUGGUACAUGUUUUCAUUGAAGUAAUGUUCUAUUGCUUACUUCUCUACAUAUUGUCAAUUCAUGUGCAGCGGCUACAUGUCACCCGAGUAUGCGAGAUAUGGUCAUUUCUCUGAGAAAUUAGAUGUAUUCAGCUUCGGAGUGGUGUUGUUGGAGAUUGUCAGCGGAAAGAAGAAUGCUGCUUUUUAUCUCUUUGAACAUUCACCAACUCUUGCUGGAUGGGUAAGUGCUGAAAAACUAUUCCAACUCAUGAUCAUUCUGUUUUUAAGCCUUUCAAAUUCACAAAUGACCAUGCGUUCAACAUUUUAAUUAGGCAUGGGACUUGUGGAAAGACGGAAGAGGAAUGGAGGUGAUUGAUGAAUCGGUAAGGGAAACAUGUCGGCUCGAUGAAGCUUUGAAGUGUAUCCAUGUAGGGUUUUUGUGUGUUCAAGAAGCUCCAGCUGAUCGACCAACAAUGUCUUUAGUAAUUCGUAUGCUGCAGGGCAAUGAAUCUACAUCUCUUCCACCUUUCAAAGAACCUGCCUUUUCAACACACAGAAAUUCCAGUCCUGUUUGUUCUUCUCAAACACCUACCAUUUUUUCCCACAACACAGUCACCAUGAGUUUGCCAGAAGGUCGAUAGGCGUUGGAAGAGCGGUGACUGGCAAGCAGUUGAGAAAAUAGUAUAGUAUAUUAGAAUAAACACCCCGACAACUAGCUGUUUUAUACAACACUUAAAGGGUUCAAUAUGUAUUUUCUAAAAUGUAAAGUCUAAUAUGCCAGCUAAGGAACUGUAUGUGAUGGGUUGAAUAGUUGACUUAAGGGCUUAUAGGUUAAGUUCCAGUAACUUGCAUACGUUAAAUCUUUGCCUGCCUGCUGAAUUCUUUGUGCAGCCAUGAAUACCAAACCAAACUCAAAGUCCGUGUUCUCCGUUAUUUUAUUAUGUGCAUUUCUCGAGUCCCAUGUUUCCUUUGCAGCUGACACCAUUAGCGAAAACCAAUCUCUCUCUAGGCAAUCAAACCAUUGUUUCUGCAGGUGGGAUGUUUGAGCUAGGUUUCUUCAAACCAGGUCAGCUUUCAAACUACCAUAUAGGCAUAUGGUACUCCAAGCAAGUAGUAUCCGAGAUGACCGUUGUUUGGGUAGCAAAUAGGGAAAUACCUUGGUAUCUGAUAGAUUUUCUUCUGUGUUGACCAUCUUAGAUGGUAAUUUAGUUCUCCGGAACAUGUCCAAAAACCCGGUUUGGUCAACAGAUUUAAACUCCACCACCAGUUCUGGUUCUGUACAAGCAGUUCUUUUGGAUAGCGGAAACCUUGUCUUCAGAGCCGGCUCUAGUAAUAAUACGUCAGAGCCUUUAUGGCAAAGCUUUGAUCAUCCAACCCAUACUUGGCUACCAGGAGGUAGACUCGGAUUCAACAAAAUUACCGAUCAUGCCCAAAUUCUCACUUCAUGGAAGAAUUUGGAGGAUCCUGCGCCAGGUCUUUACUCUCUUAAGCUAUCUCUGGAUGAAAGCAAUUCAUAUAUCUUACUGUGGAAUAGGUCUAAACAGUAUUGGACCAGCGGAUCAUGGGAUGAAAGUUCACAUAUUUUCAACGCUGAUUCCUGAAAUGAGGCUAAAUUAUAUCUUCAAUUAUAGUUAUGUUACGAAUGAGAACGAAAGUUAUUUCACAUAUUCUCCUAAGAAUCCUAAAAUUGUAUCUCGAUACUUGCUGUCUGCCUCGGGACAGAUUCAGCUAACUAACAUGGAUUGGAGAAUUUCCAAGCAGUGGGAAUUUGUUUUGGUCUCAACCAAGACAGUGUGAUGUUUAUGCUUUUUGUGGGGCUUUCUCCAGUUGCAAACCCACAUCCUUGAACUACUGCAAAUGUUUGAAGGGCUUUGAGCCAAACCAGCAGAGUGAUUGGGACUUGCAGAUUUAUUCUGGUGGAUGUUCAAGAAGAACCAGUGUGAAGUGUGGGAAUGC
rnacentral:lncRNA from 1 species